rnacentral:rRNA from 1 species
GACGUAGGGCGCGAGCGUUGUCCGGAUUUAUUGGGCGUAAAGAGCUCGUAGGCGGUCUGUUGCGUCGGCUGUGAAAACCCGGGGCUCAACUCCGGGCCUGCAGCCGAUACGGGCAGACUAGAGUUCGGCAGGGGAGACUGGAAUUCCUGGUGUAGCGGUGAAAUGCGCAGAUAUCAGGAGGAACACCGGUGGCGAAGGCGGGUCUCUGGGCCGAUACUGACGCUGAGGAGCGAAAGCGUGGGGAGCGAACAGG